ensembl:lncRNA
GGGUCCAGAUCUGUGUUCUGUUAUGGGAUGGCGAAUUAAGGGGGCCUCCUGCCCAAUGCUCCCGUGUGGGAGAGCACAGAAGUCUGGCCCGGGACACGGGGAGGGAAGGAAAGGCAGCCCGGGCUCCCUCCCUCACCCCGCUGGGGCGACGGCCCAGGGCUCCGUGUCAUGCAAAUGGGGGCGCCUCUUAAACAAGGAGCUCUCCCCUCCCUUCCGUCUCUAGAAGGGAUCUAGGGGAGGCUGGAGAUUAGGAAGGGAAUUCUUAUAGAUCCUCUCAGGGAGAGAGAUUCUGUCCCUUUGUUUGCGUCGUGCUCUGAGGCCUGCAAAGCGCUCUACAAAGUGCCCAUUGUACAGGUGAGAAAACCGAGGUCAGACUGAACUAGGCUACCCUGAUGUCUCCCACAGUGGGGACGGGUGGGGAAACGCCCCACCCCCACCCCCCACUCGGGCCCCGGGAGCUGCGGCCCCCAGUGUCCGACGCCGGGGCGCGCGGCAGGAAGGAGAUCUGCCCGGUUAUUUAAAGCCUCGUUUGUAGCCAGAGCCGCACCGGGGAGAGUGGGAAGGAGUGUGAGUAAAUACGUCUCUCACACACUCACACUCGCACCGCCCCACCCCCCGGCAAGAUCUGCCCCCAGGGGGCAAGGACUGGGGGGGUCCCCGCUCCCCCCUCCCCGCCCAGACCCCACCCCCCGCAGGUCCCUGAAGGCCCGGCCUCCCGACACUGCCUCGGAAGUCCUCGGGGCUGCCCAGGCUCAGGCGCAGCUGCCAAGUCCCCUCCUCGGGGGCGCCCCCACCGGUCCCCAGGCCCCCCGACCCCCAGCCAAAGCCAAUCGGAAGGCGGCUCCCGGGUGUCCGAGCGCGGGCCGAAGGUGGGCGCCCCGGCCCCCAGACACGCACACAGGGGAGGCUCCCCCACCCACAGGGGGCUCAGGUGCAGCCUUUUAAUUGGGUUUUGGAACGGGGCACCUGGCGUCAGACGGGCGGGUGGGGAGCGGGGGAAUCCUGCUGCCUCCUGGGGGGCCCAUCUCCCCGCCCCCAUCUACCUACGGGCAGGUUCUCAGACAGCUCCCCAGGCUUCCUCCCUCCCCAGCUGCUCCUCCUGUCCUCCAAUUGCUUCACUCAAAAAGCCUCAGUUGCAUCAUCUGUGAAAUGGGGUCAGUGACGAUCCCGUCCUGAGAUCAAUAAGCCCUUGGCUGUGGAAAUCCUACGGAUCCCACUCUGUCCCAGGGGGAUGAUCCAGGGGAGCACGGGAAGGUCGGCCCCAGGGAAGCACCCCACAAACCAGCCCCUGUCCCUGGGACCCACUGGGCGGGAGCCCGGAACCGGAGAAAGUAGGAACAGGAAGCCCGUCUCCCUCUGAAAAAUGCCCCUGUGGCUGGCCCGCCUCGGGCUGGGGUCUCCUGGCCACUCCUCCGCCACCCCACCCCCCGGCCCUGGCGGGACCCGGAAGUGCCAGCCCUCUGCUGCCCUCGUCGCCCUGUUUGUCCCGGGCCUUCCCGGGGCCCCUCCUCCGCUCAGAGCCAGCCCGGGCUAAUUAUAGACUCAUUAAUUACCCUGGUUAGGGGAGGGGAAGAGGGGCCGGAGCCACCCAGGGGAGAUGUCAUGCCCCUUCUCACACCUGGCAGGGCCUGGGCACGCCCCCCACCCCCACCCCCAUCCGGGAGUGCCAUGAUACGGGGCCCAUUAUUUGGGCCCGGCCCCGGGGAGGGGCUGCCCGUGCUCUGGGGAGCCUGGGAGAAGGUCCCUCCCCACUGUGAGGAGGGAAGCCCGGGGGCGGAGGAAGGAAUAGGCCUGCCAAAGUCUAUGCCCGCCAGUAAGGAGAGACAGAGAGAACAAGAGACAACCAAAGGAGAUAGAGAAAGAGAAAGAGACAGAGACACGCAAAGGGAGAGAGACAGAGACAGAGACAGACACAGA